rnacentral:rRNA from 1 species
CUUCGGUGGGGAUUAGUGGCGAACGGGUGAGUAACACGUGGGCAAUCUGCCCUGCACUCUGGGACAAGCCCUGGAAACGGGGUCUAAUACCGGAUACUGAUCAUCUUGGGCAUCCAAGGUGUUCGAAAGCUCCGGCGGUGCAGGAUGAGCCCGCGGCCUAUCAGCUUGUUGGUGAGGUAAUGGCUCACCAAGGCGACGACGGGUAGCCGGCCUGAGAGGGCGACCGGCCACACUGGGACUGAGACACGGCCCAGACUCCUACGGGAGGCAGCAGUGGGGAAUAUUGCACAAUGGGCGAAAGCCUGAUGCAGCGACGCCGCGUGAGGGAUGACGGCCUUCGGGUUGUAAACCUCUUUCAGCAGGGAAGAAGCGAAAGUGACGGUACCUGCAGAAGAAGCGCCGGCUAACUACGUGCCAGCAGCCGCGGUAAUACGUAGGGCGCGAGCGUUGUCCGGAAUUAUUGGGCGUAAAGAGCUCGUAGGCGGCUUGUCACGUCGGUUGUGAAAGCCCGGGGCUUAACCCCGGGUCUGCAGUCGAUACGGGCAGGCUAGAGUUCGGUAGGGGAGAUCGGAAUUCCUGGUGUAGCGGUGAAAUGCGCAGAUAUCAGGAGGAACACCGGUGGCGAAGGCGGAUCUCUGGGCCGAUACUGACGCUGAGGAGCGAAAGCGUGGGGAGCGAACAGGAUUAGAUACCCUGGUAGUCCACGCCGUAAACGGUGGGCACUAGGUGUGGGCAACAUUCCACGUUGUCCGUGCCGCAGCUAACGCAUUAAGUGCCCCGCCUGGGGAGUACGGCCGCAAGGGCUAAACUAAUACUCAACGGAGUAGUCGGGGGCCCGCACAAGCGGCGGAGCAUCUGGUGUAAUUAGACGCAGCGCGAAGAACCUCCUCAAGGCGUGACAUCCUCCGGAAAACCCUGGAGACAGGGUCCCCCUCGUGGUCGGUGUACAGCAGGUGCAUGGCUGUCGUCAGCACGUGUCGUGAGAUGUUGGGUUAAGUCCUGCAACGAGGGCAACCCUUGUUCCGUGUUGCCAGCAACCCCCCUCGGGGGUGUUGGGGACUCACGGGAGACCGCCGGGGUCAACUCGGAGGAAGGUGGGGACGACGUCAAGUCAUCAUGCCCCUUAUGUCUUGGGCUGCACACGUGCUACAAUGGCCGGUACAAUGAGCUGCGAUACCGCGAGGUGGAGCGAAUCUCAAAAAGCCGGUCUCAGUUCGGAUUGGGGUCUGCAACUCGACCCCAUGAAGUCGGAGUCGCUAGUAAUCGCAGAUCAGCAUUGCUGCGGUGAAUACGUUCCCGGGCCUUGUACACACCGCCCGUCACGUCACGAAAGUCGGUAACACCCGAAGCCGGGGUCCAACCCCNNGGAGG